AGAGUUUGAUCCUGGCUCAGAGCGAACGCUGGCGGAAUGCUUAACACAUGCAAGUCGCACGGGGGCUUCGGCCUUAGUGGCGGACGGGUGAGUAACGCGUAGGAACGUGUCCUGGGAUGGGGGAUAACGCUGGGAAACUGGCGCUAAUACCGCAUGUCUGCUGAGGCAGAAAGCCUUUGGGUGUCUUGGGAGCGGCCUGCGUCCGAUUAGCUAGUUGGUGGGGUAAAGGCUUACCAAGGCGACGAUCGGUAGCUGGUCUGAGAGGACGAUCAGCCACACUGGGACUGAGACACGGCCCAGACUCCUACGGGAGGCAGCAGUGGGGAAUAUUGGACAAUGGGCGGAAGCCUGAUCCAGCAAUUCCGCGUGGGUGAAGAAGGUCUUCGGAUUGUAAAGCCCUUUCGGCGGGGACGAUGAUGACGGUACCCGCAGAAGAAGCCCCGGCUAACUUCGUGCCAGCAGCCGCGGUAAUACGAAGGGGGCUAGCGUUGCUCGGAAUUACUGGGCGUAAAGGGCGCGUAGGCGGCGCAGUUAGUCAGGCGUGAAAUUCCUGGGCUUAACCUGGGGACUGCGCUUGAUACGGCUGUGCUAGAGGGUGGAAGAGGCUCGCGGAAUUCCCAGUGUAGAGGUGAAAUUCGUAGAUAUUGGGAAGAACACCGGUGGCGAAGGCGGCGAGCUGGUCCAUUACUGACGCUGAGGCGCGACAGCGUGGGGAGCAAACAGGAUUAGAUACCCUAGUAGUCC
rnacentral:rRNA from 1 species